UGAAUUUGCUGCCACAAUACAGACUUAAGUUAAAUGUGUCGUUAAGGUUAAUUUUGCUUACCUAUGCCUAUGUGCCUUGGGCAUAUGCAGUAAGUAUGACUGGCUAUAGUGAAGGGGAGGGGGGGUAGAAAGAAAGCCUGUUUCUUUAUGUCUCACCCAGUUUUCCCUUCCAGCAGCCACCUCUGCUGGCAGCUGCCUCCCGGUGCCGAAGGAGCUGCAGGUGAGGGGCCGCUGUUUCAAAGCACAGAGCCAGUCUGAGCUUCCAGGCUGAUCCAGGGAACAGGAAUUGCGCUGUGCUAAUGAACUCGUGAUGGAUUGAUCUCCUGCUCCUCCUGAAGGAGGCAUUUCACAGCUUUUUCAUUCUAUGAGCCCAGUGAGACCAGUUUAAGCAGCGCAGCAGUUCAUGGAUGGAAGAAGAGUCCUCGUUUCAGAACACCUAAACACGAAGAUCUUACAAAUGCUGUUAGGAGAGCUGGCGUGCAGGAGGAAUGAAUCUGGUCUGUCUUCUGUGAUUCUUGACCCACCUAAUUGGCUAAUGGCCACAAGCAAUAACAGCACGGCUCAGGGGAGCAGCGCUGGGGAGAGCUGCAGCCGCUCGGGGCAGAGGAGCACUGCGCCGUACCAAAGGCAUUGCAUGUGA
rnacentral:lncRNA from 1 species